rnacentral:sRNA from 1 species
GCGAAAUAGUAGGCAGCCCGACCCGGGAGGU